AGUGAACGCUGGCGGUAGGCCUAACACAUGCAAGUCGAACGGCAGCACAGGAGAGCUUGCUCUCUGGGUGGCGAGUGGCGGACGGGUGAGGAAUACAUCGGAAUCUACUCUGUCGUGGGGGAUAACGUAGGGAAACUUACGCUAAUACCGCAUACGACCUACGGGUGAAAGCAGGGGAUCUUCGGACCUUGCGCGAUUGAAUGAGCCGAUGUCGGAUUAGCUAGUUGGCGGGGUAAAGGCCCACCAAGGCGACGAGCCGUAGCUGGUCUGAGAGGAUGAGCAGCCACACUGGAACUGAGACACGGUCCAGACUCCUACGGGAGGCAGCAGUGGGGAAUAUUGGGCAAUGGGCGCAAGCCUGAUCCAGCCAUACCGCGUGGGUGAAGAAGGCCUUCGGGUUGUAAAGCCCUUUUGUUGGGAAAGAAAUCCAGCUGGCUAAUACCCGGUUGGGAUGACGGUACCCAAAGAAUAAGCACCGGCUAACUUCGUGCCAGCCGCCGCCGUAA
rnacentral:rRNA from 1 species